GUGUGUGUGUGAUUAAAACACUUACAAAAAAAAAAAAAUGCCCAGUGAUUUAGAAGUGGGUGUGUGUGACCGUGAGAACAAGACCAAGGGGGAAACCCUAUUUCUUCAAAAUCUUGCAAAUUAAAGGAGAAAAGGGCUAAAUUUUGAAUGCAUGAACUAAGAAUGAUGAUCAUCUAAGCAUACCCAACAUCAAUAUGAAUGUAUGUUGGAACGUGUCAAGGAGAGGUCAAGCAUAGGAGGAUAACGGGUCAAGAUAAGGCAAGGUGACAAAUACACUUAUUGGAGUACUCGAGGUAUGGGAUCGUUGGCUUCAUGAAGAAAUGGAGCUGGAUUUGGAUAAGAGUAUUUAAGAAAGCGCUUGGACAGUUCCACGACUACUUUAUAGAAUGCUCUACGAAAUUUUAUUAUAUAGUUUAAUGUUGAAUGGUAUGUUAAUGACUAAUGGUUUGGUUGUACGUGGUGUCCACAGGUAUCGCUUGGGUUUUCUCUACAUUUAUUGAAGUGAAGCGGACUUAGUUCGAGUUGAGAGCAAGGAUUGUACGGGGUAGAAUGGUCACAUAGUGUAACUCAUAUAGGUUUUGAAGUAUUAAUGUUAUAAAACAUUAUAAAUCCGUUUUAAUGAAUAUAUGGCAUUUCGCAUUUGAACCUUCAUGUGUUUGAUAUGUCUACUAAAGAACGAAAUUUUUGGGCUCUUGUUUUCCGCUGCGUCGUAUUUUAAGUUAUUACGCGUUAGUCUUACAGGGAAUUGUUCUUAUUACGAACGGGUCAUGCCCGAAUUUUGUUAAAUAAUAGUAUGAUAAUAUUACAUUUUGGAAUGUGUAAUUUGGGUGUAACAAGUUGGUAUCAGAGCCCUGGUUUGAGAGAAUUAAGUACGAGAGUAUAAGUACUUGAACUCAAACCUGUGUGCUCUUGUGAUAAGGAACCCGUACAAUCCAUGACUCGAUCAAGAUCUAAAGGUAGAAAUGGAACGAAAAUGUGUAAGUAUGUAUUAGAUUAUGUAUUUGAAAGAAACUAAUAGUGUGUUAUGUGCAAGGUAAGCUUAAGAGCUUGAAGAGGAUGAUCCGUGAAUACAGAAUAGGAUGAACGCUAAGGCGGGCAAAGGUGCAAAUAGGCAAAUUAACCCCAGGUACACAUUACUAAUAUGUAUGAGUACCGAUGUCAAAAGAAAAAGGAAGGGGUCUCCUUGGGAGGGAAAUUAUUAAACGAAAGACAAUGAUGUGGUCUUGGGGAAGUUUUAGAAAUGUGCACGAAACUGAAACCCAUUUCUCGGGCAUAAGGCGAUGAUUACACGAAGGCACGAAACUAGUGUGUGAAUUGCGCACCUGGCCAGUACGCAAGAAGCAUAUGACGUUCGUGAGACCGUGGCAAUUAUUGCAGGUAUGUCCGGUAGAACUGGGUAGCAGGUGGGCGCUAUGUUGUAGCGAAUGCGAAAUAGCAAAUCCAUUGCGGAUUUGGUUAUGCUAACGAAGGUUAUGAAAAGUUAGGCGAGUCGACCGGUUCUAGCGAACAAGUCGAAUAAGAAUAAGCUACCAUCCGUUUUGAACGGGUGAUUUUGAAUGCUCUAAUGAAUGCUAGAAGCUUAAUCCGUGAUACGGAUUGAAAGAAGAAGUUAUGAUUAAAUGCGAAAAACCCAGUUAUUUGGGUAGUGGAAAAUGUGUAUGCUUAACUCUCGUUGAGAGUGUUUAUGCCAAACCCAAUUAUUUGGGUAAUGGAAUGUGUAUGCUUAACUCUCGUUGAGAGUGUUUAUGCCAAACCCAAUUAUUUGGGUAGUGGAAUAUGUAUGCUUAACUCUCGUUGAGAGUGUUUAUGCCAAACCCAAUUAUUUGGGUAGUGGAAUGUGUAUGCUUAACUCUCCUUGAGAGUGUUUAUGCCGAAACCCAAUUAUUUGGGUAGUCGAAUGUGUAUGCUUAACUCUCUUUGAGAGUGUUUAUGCCAAACCCAAUUACUUGGGUAGUCGAAUGU
rnacentral:lncRNA from 1 species